GCGGGUAUGGCGGAAUUGGCAGACGCGCCAGACUUAGGAUCUGGUACCUCCGGUGUGCAGGUUCGACCCCUGUUACCCGCACCA
rnacentral:tRNA from 1 species